AGCGAACGCUGGCGGCAGGCCUAACACAUGCAAGUCGAACGGGCACCUUCGGGUGUCAGUGGCAGACGGGUGAGUAACACGUGGGAACGUGCCCUUUGGUUCGGAACAACUCCGGGAAACUGGAGCUAAUACCGGAUAAGCCCUUCGGGGAAAGAUUUAUCGCCAAAGGAUCGGCCCGCGUCUAGAUUAGCUAGUUGGUGAGGUAAUGGCUCACCAAGGCGACGAUCAGUAGCUGGUCNGAGAGGAUGAUCAGCCACACUGGGACUGAGACACGGCCCAGACUCCUACGGGAGGCAGCAGUGGGGAUAUUGGACAAUGGGCGCAAGCCUGAUCCAGCCAUGCCGCGUGAGUGAUGAAGGCCCUAGGGUUGUAAAGCUCUUUUAGCGGGGAAGAAACGGUCGUUCUAAUACAGAUGACUAAUGACGGUACCU
rnacentral:rRNA from 1 species